rnacentral:rRNA from 1 species
AACGAACGCUGGCGGCAUGCCUAACACAUGCAAGUCGAACGCCUGUAGCAAUACAGGAGUGGCAGACGGGUGCAUAACACGUGGGAACCUACCAAUGGGUUCGGAAUAACCGCGGGAAACUGCGGCUAAUACCGGAUACGUCCUAUGGGCGAAAGAUUCAUCGCCCUUGGAGGGGCCCGCGUCGGAUUAGCUAGUUGGUGAGGUAACGGCUCACCAAGGCGAAGAUCCGUAGCUGAUCUGGGAGGAUGAUCAGCCACACUGGAACUGAGACACGGUCCAGACUCCUACGGGAGUCAGCAGUGGGGAAUAUUGGACAAUGGGGGCAACCCUGAUCCAGCAAUGCCGCGUGGGUGAUGAAUGCCUUCGGGUUGUAAAGCCCUUUUGGCAGGUACGAUGAUGACGGUACCUGCAGAAUAAGCCCCGGCUAACUUCGUGCCAGCCGCCGCCGUAA